rnacentral:lncRNA from 1 species
UUCAUCUUCAAUACAGGCACUGGAUAGUACGUACCAUAUCUGUGAAUGGAAACAGCAAAGCUACAAUACUAGUAUGCGGAAAAGUGUACACAUAUAAAUCCUUGUUUAGGGCAAUCGUUAAAUCAACGUCUAAUAAAUAUACCCACUUUUUUAGUAUAAUCGCAAAAUAAUCCUUUUUACAAAGUGCUUAUUUUUACAAAUGUAAUUGUUAAAUUUGUAUUAUUAUUGUAAUUUAUAA